GUAGGGUGCAAGCGUUGUUCGGAAUAACUGGGCGUAAAGCGCGCGUAGGUGGGUUUGUAAGUCGUCUGUGAAAUCCCUGGGCUUAACCUGGGAAUGGCAGACGAUACUGCAAAUCUUGGGUACUUGAGAGGAUGGCGGAAUUCCAGGUGUAGAGGUGAAAUUCGUAGAUAUCUGGAAGAACACCGGAGGCGAAGGCGGCUGUCUGGCAAGUAACUGACGCUAAGGCGCGAAAGCGUGGGGAGCAAACAGGAUUAGAUACCCUGGUAGUCCACGCCGUAAACGAUGGAUACUAGAUGUUUGGAGAAUUAACCCUCUGAGUAUCGUAGCACACGCGUUAAGUAUCCCGCCUGGGGGGUACGGUCGCAAGACUA
rnacentral:rRNA from 1 species